AUGCGAUAAGUAAUGUGAAUUGCAGAAUUCAGUGAAUCAUCGAAUCUUUGAACGCACAUUGCGCCCGCCAGUAUUCUGGCGGGCAUGCCUGUUCGAGCGUCAUUUCAACCCUCAAGCACAGCUUGGUGUUGGGACUCGCGUUAAUUCGCGUUCCUCAAAUUGAUUGGCGGUCACGUCGAGCUUCCAUAGCGUAGUAGUAAAACCCUCGUUACUGGUAAUCGUCGCGGCCACGCCGUUAAACCCCAACUUCUGAAUGUUGACCUCGGAUCAGGUAGGAAUACCCGCUGAACUUAA
rnacentral:misc_RNA from 1 species